rnacentral:rRNA from 1 species
UACGUAGGGUGCAAGCGUUGUCCGGAAUUAUUGGGCGUAAAGAGCUCGUAGGCGGUUUGUCGCGUCUGCUGUGAAAAUCCAGGGCUUAACCCUGGACCUGCAGUGGGUACGGGGCAGACUGGAGUGCGGUAGGGGAGAUCGGAAUUCCUGGUGUAGCGGUGAAAUGCGCAGAUAUCAGGAGGAACACCGGUGGCGAAGGCGGAUCUCUGGGCCGUAACUGACGCUGAGGAGCGAAAGCAUGGGGAGCGAACAGG